rnacentral:tRNA from 1 species
GUUGGCAGAUUAGUGCUUUAAAUUUAGAAUUUAAUUAAGUAAGUAUCAUUACAUUUA